rnacentral:rRNA from 1 species
GUGGGGAAUUUUGGACAAUGGGGGCAACCCUGAUCCAGCAAUGCCGCGUGCAGGAAGAAGGCCUUCGGGUUGUAAACUGCUUUUGUACGGAACGAAACGGUCCUGGUUAAUACCUGGGGCUAAUGACGGUACCGUAAGAAUAAGCACCGGCUAACUACGUGCCAGCAGCCGCGGUAAUACGUAGGGUGCAAGCGUUAAUCGGAAUUACUGGGCGUAAAGCGUGCGCAGGCGGUUUUGUAAGACAGGCGUGAAAUCCCCGGGCUCAACCUGGGAAUGGCGCUUGUGACUGCAAGGCUGGAGUGCGGCAGAGGGGGAUGGAAUUCCGCGUGUAGCAGUGAAAUGCGUAGAUAUGCGGAGGAACACCGAUGGCGAAGGCAAUCCCCUGGGCCUGCACUGACGCUCAUGCACGAAAGCGUGGGGAGCAAACAGGAUUAGAUACCCGUGUAGUCC